rnacentral:rRNA from 1 species
AUUGAACGCUGGCGGCAUGCUUUACACAUGCAAGUCGAACGGCAGCGCGGGCUUCGGCCUGGCGGCGAGUGGCGAACGGGUGAGUAAUACAUCGGAACGUGCCCAGUAGUGGGGGAUAGCUCGGCGAAAGCCGGAUUAAUACCGCAUACGACCUGAGGGUGAAAGCGGGGGAUCUUCGGACCUCGCGCUAUUGGAGCGGCCGAUGGCAGAUUAGCUAGUUGGUGGGGUAAAGGCCUACCAAGGCGACGAUCAGUAGCUGGUCUGAGAGGACGACCAGCCACACUGGGACUGAGACACGGCCCAGACUCCUACGGGAGGCAGCAGUGGGGAAUUUUGGACAAUGGGCGAAAGCCUGAUCCAGCAAUGCCGCGUGUGUGAUGAAGGCCUUCGGGUUGUAAAGCACUUUUGGCGGGAACGAAAAGGACUGUGCCAAUACCACGGUUCGAUGACGGUACCCGCAGAAUAAGCACCGGCUAACUACGUG